AAAUAUUCCAGAACAAAAAGAGUAUUUGAAGCUUUUGAUACGAUUAUACGAAGGCACGAAGCUUAGGGAGCCCAGGAGCUAAUAGAGACCAGCAGCAGCAGUAAACCCAUCACCCAGCAUCCCUCAAAAAGCUGAAGAAAGCCUAGACAAUAGAGAAAGAUGCCACAUAGAACUCGACCUAUGACCGCACUUUUGGUGUUUACCGGACUGAAUGCUAUCUUAGUUUCAACCAUUACUCCCGUCUAUGAUUUCGUCUGCUUUCUUCCUUUUUGGGAAAGAAGGGUAUGCUUUCUUGUUAUGAUUUGUUUAGAAGUCUUAUUCUUUUAUUUAUUUUCUUGGAAAGCUGGUAAUAAUAGCAGUAGACAAAUUUCUUUAGGCAGAAGGGUGACCGGAUCGACCGUAAAAAGUAUUGGACCAUUUUAUAUAGGAUACAACUCAAAAUGAAGUUUGACAAAAUGCAUGAUACUGUAAUAUUGUAUGUGAAUGAAGUUAUGAUAUUGAUUGGAACAUUAAA